AGCGAACGUUAGCGGCGCGCCUAACACAUGCAAGUCGCACGAGAAAGGGGGCAACCCCCGGUACAGUGGCGCACGGGUGAGUAACACGUAGAUGACCUUCCCUGGAGUGGUGGAUAACCUGCCGAAAGGCGGGCUAAUACAGCAUGGGACCACACGGCUUUGGCCGAGUGGUGAAAGCGGGCCUCUGUUCACAAGCUCGCGCUCUGGGAUGGAUCUGCGGCCCAUCAGCUAGUUGGUGAGGUAACGGCUCACCAAGGCUACGACGGGUAGCUGGUCUGAGAGGAUGAUCAGCCACACUGGAACUGAGACACGGUCCAGACUCCUACGGGAGGCAGCAGUGGGGAAUCUUGCGCAAUGGGCGAAAGCCUGACGCAGCGACGCCGCGUGGGUGACGAAGGCCUC
rnacentral:rRNA from 1 species